GAGGGAGGGGCCGCAGCCCCCCCCCAAAAUACAGAAUUCGGCGCCCCCUUUUUGGGGGGACCCCAAAAAUCCAAAUCCCCCCUCUCUGUCGGGUGAGAGGAGGAAAAUUCCCGAAGGAAUUCCCGAGGGAAUUCCCGGGAUCGGGGGAAUCCUGGGAAAACCCCGGGGGAGGGAGCAGGGCCGGGUCUGUCCCUUUAAAUUCGGAAUUUUAUAUUUUUUUAUCCAUUAAUUUUAAUUUUUUUUAUUUAAUUAAUAAUAAUAAAUAAAAACCUCGAGGCUUUAAAAAAAAAAAAUAAACCCCAAAAAAACCCGCCAGGAAUCAAAGGAGGAAGGGAAAAAAAUGAUUUAAAAAUUAAUGAGUGAGCCCCAGGAAUUAAUUAAGAAUUAAUUAAAACUUAAUUAAGCCGAGGAGGAAAAUUGGGGGGUCCCCUGGCAGUGAGCAGAGCUGGGAGGUAGCGCUGGGUUGGCCCCACCACCCCCAGUUUGGGGAACCCCCCAUACCCUAAUUUGGGGACCCCCACCCUAAUUUGGGGACCCCCCCCCCACUUUGGGGACCCCCCCAGUUUGGGGACGUCACCCAUGGGACCCCCAUUUUUGGGACCAUCCCCAUUUUGGGGACCUUCUCCUUUUUGGGGACCCCCUUCAUGGGACCCUUCAUUUUGGGGACCAUCCCCACCUUGGUGACCCCAAUUUUGGGGACCCCCCCCCAUUUUGGGGACCAUCCCCACCUUGGUGACCCCCCCAUUUUGGGGACUUUUAAUGGGACCCCCCCAUUUUGGGGACCCCCAGUUUGGGGAC
rnacentral:lncRNA from 1 species